UUUCUACUCCCUCCGUCCCAAAAUUCUUGUCUUAGAUUCGUCUAGAUACGAAUGUAUCUAAUACUAAAAUAUGACUUGAUACAUUUGUAUUUAGAUAAAUAUAAGAAAAAAAUUGGGACGGAGGGAGUAUUUU
rfam:Triticum aestivum genome assembly, contig: Triticum_aestivum_CS42_TGACv1_scaffold_146084_2BS